AACGUAGGACGCAAGCGUUAUCCGGAAUUACUGGGCGUAAAGCGCGUGUAGGUGGUUGCAUAAGUCGCUGUUGAAAGCUCCCGGCUAAACUGGGAGAGGUGCGGUGAGACUGUGCGGCUAGAGUAUGGGAGAGGGAUGCAGAAUUCCGGGUGUAGUGGUGAAAUGCGUAGAGAUCCGGAGGAAUACCAGAGGCGAAGGCGGCAUCCUGGCCUAAAACUGACACUGAGACGCGAAAGCAUGGGGAGCGAACGGG
rnacentral:rRNA from 1 species